rnacentral:rRNA from 1 species
CUGCAUGGCUGUCGUCAGCUCGUGUCGUGAGGUGUCGGGUUAAGUCCCACUAACGAGGCGCAACCCCUAUCAUUAGUUGCCAUCAGGUCAAGCUGGGGACUCUAAUGAAACUGCCUACGCAAGUAGUGAGGAAGGUGGGGAUGACGUCAAAUCAGCACGGCCCUUACGUCCAGGGCUACACACGUGCUACAAUGGCCGAUACAGAGGGCAGCUACCUGGUGACAGGAUGCAAAUCUCCAAAGUCGGUCUCAGUUCGGAUCGGAGUCUGCAACCCGACUCCGUGAAGUUGGAUUCGCUAGUAAUCGCGCAUCAGCCAUGGCGCGGUGAAUACGUUCCCGGGCCUU